AGUGGGCAGCAGCGAGGGCGUGACGUCCAGGGCGCCCGGGUCCCAGCGGAAGAGCAGGCCCUCUGAGGGCGGCGCGCAGGCCCGUGCCCGGUGCAGCUGAGCGGGGCUCAGCGCCCGCGCCCACAGGUGGAAGUCGGUGAGGUUGCCGCUGAGGGCGUGACGCACCGAGAAGCCACCGCCCAGAGAGUCCUGAUCCUGGCCCAGCACCAGGAUGCCGCCGGACGGCACCGGGUGGCCGGCGCCCAGCCCCCGCGCCCCAGCGCGCCGCCUCCCAUCGGAGAACAGCGCCCAGCGCCCGCCCCGCUGCUCCCACGUGGCGCACACAUGGUGCCAGCGGCCGUCGGCGCGGAAGGCUGCGAGGAAGGGCGCGUGCUGCCCACGCACCACCAGCGCAGCGCGCACGACGCCCCCCGGCUCGGCGAAGGCGCGCAGCUGCAGCGCGUUGGGCAGCGCGGGCGCGGCAACGGAGAAGAGCGCUGCGGGGUCGGGCGAGGCACAGUCCCACUGCACGUGAGUACACGCGGUCAGCGCUGCCAGCUCAGGCAGAGGGCUCCGCAGCCGCGCCGCCCGGUCAGCCGUCCUCUCGUCGAACACCAGCACGGCGGUGGUGCGCGCACCUGCAGGGACACGUGGGCUGCGACCUCAGUUUCCUCACCUGUGCACAUGGUCCUGCCCCUGCCCUUUGGCUCAGCGGUGGGGUCCUUCCAGGCUUUGGGAUGCCUCCCCACCUCGGGAAGGAGGAAAUGGGGGCUAGAGUUCCCCUGCCCAAGAGUCAAGCCCCGACGCCCAGUCCAGGGCAAAGGAACCUGGAGAUGCAAUGGGGUCUUACUCCCGGCUCAUUCUGCAAAUAUUGUCACUGUGGGCUCCUAUAUCUGAAGGUCACCAGAGCCUCUGCCCCUUGCUCCCAUUUCCCAGGGGCCCACACUCACGCCUCUGUGGGGGUCUCCGCAGAGGGGCCUCUCUUUGGCCCACCCAGACCGGAUCGCGCAGCCGUGAAGCAAGAACCCCAUCAGGGGGCUGCAGUGCCAAGUGGCCAAACUGCUGCUCGCAGGACUCUUGGGCCUGCCACCAGCUCAGUCGCUGUCCAGAGAACUUGCACACCCCACCUGCAGUCUUCACCACCUCGCCGGCGGCCACGGGGGCUAAAAACGAUAAGAGAGACGGUGGGGGGUGCAUUUUGUGGGCAUCUGACUCUUCCAGGGCUGGGCGGAGCCAAGGACACUGGGCUUGGAGUCAUUCGGGCUGGAUGGGGCUGAACCCGCCCAUGUCUAUGGCCUGCUGAGUCCUGUCCUCUUGCAGAGCUCUUUUCGUCAUCUGCGCAAUGGCAGGAAUGAGACGGAAACCAGUGAAGCGUUCCUCGCAGGGCCUGGACUUAUCUUGGAUAACAUUUGCAGUGACCUUAUGAGGUAAGGAUGGCCACUUGGAACCCUUGAAGCUGUGAGUCCCCUUGACUUCCUCCCAGGCACUGCCCUCCCAGAAGUGAAGGUACCAGGAGGCAGAGGAAACAGUAGCACCACGGUGCCAUCCUGGAUCCAACGGAGCAGGUGACAGACAGCAGGGGUCACAGGCAGGCCAACUUGGACUGAGGAAAAAAAAGUCGCAGGAAAGCAGCUGGGCAUCCUGCCUUGCUUCGCCCUUGGACUUCUGCAGGGUCCGUUUGCCCUUUGUUUGACUCCCAGACCCCACUGAGCUGGGAACCAACCAGUGGGCUGGAAGCCCAGGAUGGGGUGGCCCACCUAGUAGGGACGACAUUUACUUGCACAAAAGAUGGUCUCCAGGAGCCCCUUCAGGACCGAAGCAGGGAAACACUGUCGCCCUGGAGAGCUGGGAGAGGGGGAGGCAGCAGCAGUCGCUGGCCAGAGAGGGGCGAAACAGAGCUCAGGGUCCCUGCAGCGGGUGGGGGAAGCUCAGGUCCAGGUGGGCUUUGUGUUCCUUGAGGUUCUCCGCCAAGGUUCUGCUUCAUCAGGCCUCUGCCGAGUUCUCUGGCCUCACCUGUCCACCGCUGCUCCGUGCAGCCACCUUUCCCCUGCUCCCCAAGGUGCGUCCAUUUCUGAGUUUCCCUCCUCUGGACCUGUGACCAUGCCAUCCCUCCUGCCUGGACUGCCUCCCAGUCUCUCAGUAGUACCACCUCCAGGUUCAGCUUGUGGUUCCGGCUGGUGGGUGUGCCACAGCCAGACGCUGUGCUCAGCGGGGAUACCCUAACCCUGGGUGAUCUGGGGUCACUCCCGUCAACCUGGGGGGCUCUGCAGGCAGGGAAGAGCCUCCUGGGUCUCUGCUCCAGCCCUGGCUUUACACAAAUGUGCCUGAGAAAACACGGUGUCCUGACACCUGGCCUCAUGCCACCUGGUGACGGCAUCUGAGCCAUCACCAGUGAUCAUUCACCCCUUUUCCCUUUUCCAGACAGCACGAAAAUCCAACACGCCCCUCACCGGAGGACUGGGAGGCUCCCGCGUUUUGGAUUCUGAAAAGCACUCCCUCGUUCACGUCUGCCUGGAUUCGCGCCCUCAAGCCCCCUGGCGCCCACUUUUCUUGCUCUCCAAACACUCGUUGAGGCCCGAGAGGGAGAUGCGAAGUUUGCCCACCACUGCGCGUCCCUCCUCCGCGAGGCGCCAAUGGGCCUGAGUCAGGGGCCUCCCCUUCAUCCGCUGGUCCCUCCCCUGUUCCCAGCUCCAGUUCCUCACCCGCUAUGGCUGGCCUGGCGCCUGUGGCCGUUCACCGUCUGCGAGGCAUCUGCGGGGACUGAAGUCGGGGAGGCAGCGGCGGGCUCUGGCAGAUACCAGGAGAUCCCGCCCCUCGGCCCGGGAGACCCCGCCCCUCGGCCACGCCCCUUUCCGCUCCCCACCCCGCCCUCUUGGGCCCCCCACCCGGCCCAGCCAGACAGAGACCUGCCUCCAGGUGGGUGGGAGGAGACCUUCAGUCCCUCGCCCCGGGCCUGUUGUCACUACCUCCCCCAAACACAUUGGUUAAAGUCACCCGAUUAGAAGGGGCCACCUGUGAGACUUGGAUCCAAAGCAAACUAGCGGAAGCUGAAGGGUCUUGGGGCUUCCCAGGCCUCUCGGAGGCCGGGAUGGUCGUGGAGGAGGGAGCGCUCAGUGCCUGGCCUACUGCCUGCCCUGAGCCGGCUCCCUACAGGACGCUUCUCCUGUACCUUCCACCUGCUGCGAGGAAGGGCUGGGGGCAGGCGUACCCAUUUUCCAGAGGAGAACUGAAGGCUCUCACCCCGGGUUAGGCCAGUGGCCGGAGGCAGAGCCGGGCCUUGAACCUGGCUUUCUGGAUCUUCAUCCAGGCCAUUCUAAAGGUACUGCAGGGAUGGCAGAGAGGGCCUGUCUGGGGGAAGGGAAUAGGGGCAGAGCCAGGGCCAGGGCUGCAGAGGGAGGCUGAGGGGUUGGGGGGAUGCAGAGGCAAAGAUCCUCCAUGCAAGUGUGGAGUAGGGACUGUGGGCAUACCUUCCUGGUCUCAGUAGCAGGGAUGCCUGGUUAGGAGGGAGGUUAGACUGAAUGACCCCAGGGCUCAGGCUUUGGGGGCAGAUAGAUCCAUCCAAGUUCAUCCAAGUUCAUGUUGACUCUGACCUAAGGCAUGACACCUAAUUUCUCCAAGCCAGUUUCCUCAUCUGUAAUGUGUGGAUGAUGAAUAGUGCAUAACUCAUGGAGUUGCUGUGAGAUUUAAGUGACUUUGACUUAACAUGUACCAAGCCCGUAGCUAAUACAUGGUGCCUGGCACACAGUCCACUUAGCAUUCUUGUCAAAACUCACUUAAAAGGUAGCCUGCCAGGCCGGGUGCAAUGGCUCAUGCCUGUAGUCAUAGCACUUUGGGAGGCUGAGAUGGGAGGAUAGUUUGAGGCCAGGAGUUUGAGACCAACCUGGGCAACACUGGGAGACCCUGCUCUGUCUGUACAAAAAUUUAAAAAUUAGCUGGGUGUGGUGGUGCACACCUGGAGUCCCAGCUACUUGGGAGGCUGCAGUGUGAGGAUCGCUUGAGCCUGGAAAGUUGAGAAUGCAGUGAGCCAUGACCAUCCCACUGCAUUCCAGCCUGGGUGACACAGCGAGACUCUGUCCUCCCCCCUAAAAAAAGCCUGCUGGCAACAAUUUUUAUUUUACUUUUAUUAUAUAUAUAUAGAGAGAGACAGGGUCUUGGUCUUAUGAUGGUUUAUUUUAAGAAGGGGGGGAAUCAAUAUAUAUCAAAGGAAGAUAUAUUGGUGUUCCAUGUGCUAUUCUUUCAGCUUUUCUCUGGGUUUGAUAAUUUUCAAAUUAAAAAUUGGGAGACAAGAGGCCUCUGCCUGGGUCAGAGCUCGGAGCAUUUCCCGGGUUCUUGGUCCAGCAAAACGUGGGCAGGACUUGGUUCUCUCCUGUUUGCGACCUGCCCACUUCCCAACCAGUCCCAGUUUCCAGAGCCAGUGAGAAGUGCAGGAAGGAGAGGCCCAAGAUGAAGCCUCGCUCUGCUUGGCCCUGGCUGGGCCUUCCCACACUUGCACCAUCUCACUCAAGGCAGGGAUUCUUAGGAGCCCAUUUUACGCAUGUGUAAACUGCGCCCAGUGAGGAGAAAGGACUGGCCCAAGGUCACGAAGCAAGGAAGGGGUGGGCUGCAGGUCAGCCUCCGAAUGCCAACACUACCAGUCUUCUUGUGUACCUUCUGGCCCUCCUCACCGUGCCCUUCCUGUCCUACCCCAAAUCUCUCUCUGUAUCUUAAGCAACGACCUUCCUAUCUUUGGCGAUGCCCCUGCCCUGGCGCCCACAGCCCAACUCUCUCCCUUCCAGGGGAUCACAGUUUCCAGGAGUCACUCCUGAAGAUGGUCAAGUACCAUGGAGGGGCAGGGCAUCCAUGGACCCUGAUUUGAGGCCCCGGAGCAGUUGGGACUGGUUUGGGCCACGGCUGGCCUAAUCUCCCCUCCACAGAGCCUGGGCAUUGUCCAGUUGGCAGCCAAGAGCCAUCUAUCCACUUUACAGCGGGCAGCUUUGACAGGCUGCUUGUUUCCAAGGACAAAGCCUGCAGGCUGUGGGUAGGCGAUAGCCACUGCGGACCUCGGGCUCAUUGCCUGGGUACAGGGGGUGGGGAGCCUGAGGUCUGCCAGGACCCAAGGGAGCCUCGAGGGUGGCCUGAGGACAUUGGGUCCUCACUCCUGGCCCCUCAGCCAACCCCCUCAUAGCCCAGGGCCAGGAAUUUUGGAAGGAAGAACCAGCCACUGGGAUGUUUUCACUUUUGGGUCACCCUGAUCCCCCCAGAAUCGAGGCUUGGCCAUCAGCCAGCUUUUAUGUGACCCAGGCAGCUCUCUCCACUCUGUUUCUUCUUCUACAGAAUGUUGAGAAUCACCUCUUUCUCUCAGGGACAUAAAGCAUGGCUGUGAGAGAGAUUUGUGAGUGUUGGGGUCACUGUAAUUACUCUCUGAGGGUGCCUGUCUUGAGCUCUGUAGACAAAGUGGGAUCCCUUCCCCUCUCUCAUACCCCUACAAACUUUGGGCCUCGAGUAUCCAGGAUGGGCCCAGAACCAGCACUGGCACAGCCUCCUCUCUGGCCUGAUCCAAGCCCUCUCCCACACAGCAGUCAGGCUGAUCUUCCUAAAAUUUCCGUCUAUUGAGCUUACAUUAAAAUAAUAAUAAUAAUAAUAAUAAUAAUAAUAAUAAUAAUAAUAACAACAUUUCUGUCUGAUUUUGUCUCUCCUCUGCUCAAAAUCCCUCUGUGGAUCCCUAGUGCCUCCAGGAGAAAGUCCACCCUUCCUCUCACGGCUCACCCAAUCUACCCCAGCCGUGGCUCCUCCCUCACUGUGCCUCUUCCCCUUACCUUCUAGCCAGAGUGAAAUCCCCAGGCCUCUGCGUGCACCAUUCCCUCUGCUUAGGAAUAGGCAGACCUGCCCCCAGGUCUUUUCUGGUUCAUUUCCACUUAUCCUUCAGGUUUCUAGGAUGCUUUCCCUGACCUCCACUUAAAUUGGCUCAGGAGUUCCCUGAUCUCCACAAAUGUCAGGAACUUGUCCACCCGCCUGCCCCCAGCACCCAGGUUACACCUGACAAAAUGAUCUGUGACAUGCCUGGCCUGGAGCCUGGCACACAGCAGGUGCUCAGUAAAUACAUAUUUGGCCGGGCGCGAUGACUCACGUCUGUAACCCCAUCACUUUGGGAGGCCGAGGUGGAUGGAUCACCUGAGGUCACGUGUUUGAGACCAUCCUGGCCAACAUGGCGGAACCCUGUCUCUACUAAAAAUACAAAAAUUAGCUGGUUGUGGUGGCGCGUGCCUGUAAUCCCAGCUGCUGGGGAGGCUGAGGCAGGAGAACCUGGGAGGCGGAGGUUGCAGUGAGCCAAGAUCAUGCCAUCACACUCCAGCCUGGGUGACAGAACAAGGCUCAGUCUCAAAAUGAAUACAUACAUACAUACCUAUUUGUAUUAGGAGGAGAAAACCAAGAACCAGAGAAGAGAAGAGAAGGGAAGGGACCUGUGGCCACAUAGCAAGGCCAUGGCACAGCCGAAGUCUCCUCUGCUUUCCUCAUGCAGCCCCGUCCAACCCAUCUCUUUCAUCUCUUUUCUUAAAACUUAAAAAUAUUUUCAGGGGGGUGUGGUGGCUCAUGCCUAUAAUCCCAGCAAUUUGGGAGGAUGAGAUGGGAGGAUUGCUUGAGCCCGGGAGUUUGAGGCUGCAGUGAGCCACUGUAGUCCAGCCGGGGUGACACAGCCAGACUCCAUCUUUUUCUCUGUAUAUUUUUUCACCUCUACCUGAUGUGACUGAGUAACUGCUGGGGUACAUCACCUCUUUCAGGUGAUGGAAAUGUUCUAAAGUUGAUUAUGCUGAUGGUUGGUUGCCCAGCUGUGAAUGCAGUAAAAACAUUGAGCCGUACACUUUAAAUGGACAAGUUAUGUGUGAAUUAUAUCUCAAUAAAGCUCUGUGCCCCACCCAAA